GACGAACGCUGGCGGCGUGCUUAACACAUGCGAGUCGAACGGAAAGGCCCUGCUUUUGUGGGGUGCUCGAGUGGCGAACGGGUGAGUAACACGUGAGUAACCUGCCCUUGACUUUGGGAUAACUUCGGGAAACUGGGGCUAAUACCGGAUAGGAGCUCCUGCUGCAUGGUGGGGGUUGGAAAGUUUCGGCGGUUGGGGAUGGACUCGCGGCUUAUCAGCUUGUUGGUGGGGUAGUGGCUUACCAAGGCUUUGACGGGUAGCCGGCCUGAGAGGGUGACCGGCCACAUUGGGACUGAGAUACGGCCCAGACUCCUACGGGAGGCAGCAGUGGGGAAUAUUGCACAAUGGGCGGAAGCCUGAUGCAGCAACGCCGCGUGCGGGAUGACGGCCUUCGGGUUGUAAACCGCUUUCGCCUGUGACGAAGCGUGAGUGACGGUAAUGGGUAAAGAAGCACCGGCUAACUACGUG
rnacentral:rRNA from 1 species